rnacentral:lncRNA from 1 species
GGAGGCAGAGAUGAGGAGAAAGAGACAGAUGACUGAGAACAUCAGAGAUAAGAGAGACACAAAGUUUCUGAGAGACAGAAAGAGAUGAGCAAGGAGGAGGAGGCCGCCGGUCCAGGUUUUGGGUUCCCACAGGCAGGCGGCUGCGGCAGCCCCACCUAUGACCCUGAGCAACCCUGGAAGCUGCGCUGUCGACAGCCUGUCACAGCAAAUCACCUCAGGCCACUACAUCCCCAGAGAGCUGCCCACCGAACCAGCGUCAGCCCCCUCGGGGCCUCUCCCAGCGGCACUAACAGGCUGGCGCCAGGCUGCACAGGGCUGGUUCUGCCCAUGCCUCAGAGGAGAAAACCGAGGCUCAGACAAAGGAAGACGAAACAAGAAGAAAGCAGCCCACAGACAACUGGUCCUGGGGCUUCCUCGCCCUGUCUCACCGCUGCAAGAGGGAGCUUUGAGGAGCACAGCAGGGCAAAGGCCUGAUUCCCUUGCCCUUGUUCUGGAGAGGAGACUGAAGUUCAGAGGGGCGAAGCGACGUGCCCAAGGUCACAGACGUGCCAAUAAGGAUGCAUGAGAGAGAAGGCUCCAUCUCCUUAGAGUGGCAACUAGCUGCUGCCAAGAAGCCUCCCCUCACAGCCCAGGCCAGAACCAGCCUCCCGCCAGGUAGCACAGCACCGGAAGCCCACCAUUCGAGAGCUGGCCCAUCGAGUUGAGCACUCAUCUUUUAUGCGUCACAUUCUCUUUGUUCAUUUAGCCUCACAGGACCCACAAAAAUCCAUGAACAGCAAAUAACA